GGUCAUGUACCUUGUUUUUGCUCGGCAUCUGAAGAGAAACCCGAAGCCAUGAAGGGUUCAGGAGAGAGAGACGCAUCCAUGGAUGUUUCUUAUGAUAGUUCAGAAGAGAGAGUAAAACCCAUUUCAGUUGAGCCUUUGAAUUCAAAAGAAAUAGAGGCUUCUUUAUCAGGUAUGGUAUCCGAAUUCCAAUUCAAAAGAAACAG
rnacentral:lncRNA from 1 species